UGGGAAUGGAUAGCUCUAUAUGAAUUGCAACUCAUCCUCCUUUUGUAGACUCUUCUAAAUAUCUUGUAAGGCAUACCUCCAAAGUUUCCCACCAAGUGCUUCAAAAGUACAAUGAAUUGAUCCAGGACACAGCAUAUAAUCUUGGGGUCCACUUACAGUAAAUCGAUGAGAAAAUGGCGCAUUUUACUGUCCAAAACACUUAUUACUUCUACCUCUCAAUUUGUCAGUUUUAUACACAUAUGUACACCGAGGCAUUUGCGUGGUUGAGUGAAAUCUCAACCACCUCUUUUUCUCCUUCAUUGACAUUUUGUACUGUACAUGAUUCAUCCCUUCUCUAACAUUUAAAACACC
rnacentral:sRNA from 2 species